rnacentral:lncRNA from 1 species
GGGAGAAUAGUAAGCAUUGGACACAAAAUGGUUUAGGCAAAUAAUGAUGAACAAAAAUGGUCAGUCUGUGUUCCUGCUGACCCAGCACAGUGGGGACGCUGUGUAGGACAUGACCUUUGGGGGAAAGGACACAAGAACUCAGCGUGGGGGAUCCAGAAAAGAAGUCGCACGUAUUGAAGCCAGUAACGCCAAGCCAGUGAAUUCUCCUUGACGAGAAAGACCCACUUACUCUGCAGAAGAGAUAUAUGACAGCUGACAAUCCCUGGAGGAGAAUCUUUCUACUAAAUUGAACUGAUCCGAGAGGACAGGGAAGUCAGUGUGGGCGGCUCUAAGGAGCCUCCCUCUCUACAGCUGCGGCUCAGAGGAUUACGGCGCUUCAUCCACAAGGCAACAUUGCACAAGUAGCUUUUGAACAAAAGUCAUGGAUACUAUUAAUGAUAUGUUCCCACACACAUUUAGUGUCGUCUCAAAAUUCACGCUGUCAACUGUCUCUAGGAAUCAUUUCCAUCUGAGAACAGACCACACAAAGACACAGUGAAACUCAGUUUCUGCAGAAUUUGAUUUCAUUUGAGUUACUGGGGAACAAAGCAAUUAGACAAUGAAUAAUAGCUCAAGACAGGCUGAAGCUGAAGAUUUCUGCAAAAGAAUGAAGAGGAAACGUUUUGAUCCUGAGCAGAUGUUCUCCCUAGAUUGCUUCACCUGAGGUUGAUUGACUUUUGGAAACGAGAUUUGUUCCCAGUGCUUUGUGAGUCUCUUGUUGGAAGGACUGUCUUUAAAUUAAAGCAAUUAGAGUUACUUUAUAAGAUUUACCCAAAUAUAAGAGCUGAAGAGAAUAAUUCAAAUUGAUCAGAAGAAAAUACUCAAUUACUGACAAAUGUCAAUUACAUCAAUAGCCUAGGCUGCUCUUGAACUCCUGGGCUCAAACGAUCCUCCCCUGUCGGCCUCCCAAAGUGCUGGGAUUACAAGCUUGAACCACCAUGCCCAGCCUCAGAAAUUUUUUAAAUGACAGCUCAUACAGUUUUCUUUUAUAAAGGAGGAGAAAAUGUGUAAUUGUAAGCAGCUGAACUAAAAUAUCUCUGUGACAUUUUGCUGGUGACUCCAGCCCUGUGAGAUCUGAGUGGCUCAGGAAUCAAAUUCUCCCACAAACCUGAGGAAGCCUUUUAUUCUUAAUGCCAACAGGAUGCCCCAUGCCCAGAAUGUCAAAUCUGAACACCAAUGGAAUGCAUUUUAUAAACAAAUUGAAAAAGGACAAUCUUUAACAGAAUUGUUGUUCUCUAGGCAGAUUAGUUGUGCUUCAAAUACAAAAUGAAAUAUUAGAGAACAAAAUUAUUUUUAAACAGCUAAUACUAGUAGAAAAUAAAAGGCUGAAAAGU